rnacentral:lncRNA from 1 species
UUGUGAAACAUUUCAUGUUUUUUACGUCUUUCUGAUAGUAACUCCCAUCCUGUUUCGUUGUAUAAUUUGUUUAUGGACGAUGACUUAGUACCGCCAGUAACUAUCAAUGCCGCUUCAAAUUGCAUAUUUUCUAGUUUCAAAUGAAAAUAGAUUUUUUCGCAGUGUUAUAGAUUCGUCGUUUGUCUUACCCUUACUUGAUAUUAUAUGAGAAAUUCUGAAGUUUAUCCAUCAUGUUUAUUUAUUGGUCUUUGUAAACCGGGAAUUUUGAAAAUCUGUUCAUCGGUCUGAUCAUAGUUCCCUUUACUUCCUGAAUACGUUUAGCGAAGAUUUGAUAGUAUAAAAUUAGUUUAAUAAUUUCCUAAAACCGGUAUGCA